GACGAACCGUGCGAACGUUAUUCGGAAUCACUGGGCUUAAAGGGCGCGUAGGCGGGCCAGCAAGUCAGGGGUGAAAGCCCACGGCUCAACCGUGGAAGUGCCUCUGAUACUGCGGGCCUCGAGGGAGGUAGGGGCGUGCGGAACUUCCGGUGGAGCGGUGAAAUGCGUAGAGAUCCGGAAGAACACCGGUGGCGAAGGCGGCCUGCUGGGCAGUGGCUGACGCUGAGGCGCGACAGCGUGGGGAGCAAACAGG
rnacentral:rRNA from 1 species